AUUGAACGCUGGCGGCAGGCCUAACACAUGCAAGUCGAGCGAGCGGCGGACGGGUGAGUAAUGUAUGGGGACUGCCCGAUAGAGGGGGAUAACUACUGGAAACGGUAGCUAAUACCGCAUACUAUCGGAUAACCCAUAUGGGAUUAGCUAGUAGGUGAGGUAAUGGCUCACCUAGGCGACGAUCCCUAGCUGGUCUGAGAGGAUGAUAAGCCACAAUGGGACUGAGACACGGCCCCGACGCCGACGGAGGCAGCAGUGGGGAAUAUUGCACAAUGGGCGCAAGCCUGAUUGAGCCAUGCCGCGGGUAUGAAGAAGGCCCGAGGGUUGUAAAGUACUUUCAGUCGGGAGGCGUUACCGACAGAAGAAGCACCGGCUAACUCCGUGCCAGCAGGCGCGGGAAUUC
rnacentral:rRNA from 1 species